CUGGCGGUGAUGAUGAUUAUUAUACCAUCAAACUAUGAAAGCUUUAUAAGCUUGUUUAUUGUGUAUUGGUAUUAACUGUGUAGGUAAUGGAGAAAUAGAUGUGAGAUAGAGAGAAAGAGAGGGAAAGGCAACAAAUUAGAGUCUCUGUUGCGCUCUUUGCUAUAGCGUAUUCAGCGCUGUACGUUGCCGAUAGAGAUCGAGUGGAUAUUCUGGCAUUCGUCGCUUCA